CAGCGCCGUAAAGCGCGGCCGGCGGGGAGCGCCCGGGCCGGAGCGGCGGCGGUCGCGGUCGGAUGCCCGGGGGCGGGGGCAGCCCGGCGCCCGGCACGCAGGGGGCAGCGGAGGCGGGCGAGGCGGCGGCGGGCGGCAGGAUGAGCCUGUCGCCGAAGGAGCUGUCGAGCCUGCUGAGCAUCGUGUCGGAGGAGGCGGGCGGCAGCACCUUCGAGGGGCUCUCCAGCGCCUUCCACCACUACUUCGGGAAGGCCGAGCACUUCCGGCUGGGCUCCGUGCUCGUCCUGCUGCUGCAGCAGCCCGACCUGCUGCCCAGCCCCGCGCAGCGCCUCACCGCGCUCUACCUUCUCUGGGAGAUGUACCGCACCGAGCCCCUCGCCGCCAACCCCUUCGCCGCCGUCUUCGCCCACCUCCUCAACCCCGCGCCCGAGCGCGGCGGCGACGAGGCGGAGCGCACCCCGCUGUCAGGCUUCUUACCUCCCAUAACUCCUCCAGAAAAAUUCUUUCUUUCACAACUGAUGUUGGCCCCUCCUAGAGAGCUGUUCAAGAAGACUCCUCGUCAGAUUGCUGCCAUGGAUGUGGGGAACAUGGCCCAGUCAGUGGACAUCAGUGGGCUGCAGCUGGCAUUAGCAGAACGUCAGUCCGAGUUGCCAACACAGAGCAAGGCCAGCUUCCCCAGCAUUCUCAGUGAUCCUGACCCAGAUUCUUCCAACUCUGGUUUUGACAGCUCUGUUGCUUCCCAGAUCACAGAAGCAUUAGUGAGUGGACCAAAGCCUCCUAUAGAAAGUCACUUUCGACCUGAGUUUAUUCGACCACCGCCUCCACUCCAUAUAUGUGAGGAUGAAUUGGCAUGGCUAAAUCCAAUUGAACCAGAUCACACAAUUCAGUGGGAUAAGUCAAUGUGUGUUAAGAACAGCACUGGAGUUGAGAUAAAAAGAAUCAUGGCAAAAGCUUUUAAAAGUCCUUUGACUUCCCCACAGCAGACACAGCUCCUUGGAGAACUGGAAAAAGACCCCAAGCUUGUUUACCAUAUUGGUCUCACUCCUGCCAAAUUGCCAGACCUGGUUGAAAACAAUCCUUUAGUAGCUAUAGAAAUGUUGCUGAAACUAAUGCAGUCUAGUCAAAUAACAGAGUAUUUUUCUGUCUUGGUCAACAUGGACAUGUCCUUACAUUCAAUGGAAGUUGUAAAUCGGCUUACUACUGCAGUUGAUCUCCCACCUGAAUUUAUUCAUCUUUAUAUCUCCAAUUGUAUCUCCACCUGUGAACAGAUUAAAGACAAAUAUAUGCAGCCUGUCAUACUUGCAUGCUGGUACUGAAAAAAUUGUAGCCGCUCCAAGGAUCCCUGACCAGGGAGGGUCAGGGGAAACCUGAGGAGGUCUGCACACUUCUGGCAUUCAGAAGGUCUACAUGCUGUGAGAGAACCGCCUGGUCCGUCUUGUUUGUGUCUUUCUUCAGUCUUUAAUCAGAAACAAAAUUAUUAAUGUACAGGACUUGUUUAUAGAAGUGCAAGCAUUCUGCAUUGAGUUCAGUC